CCGCGAGAUCGUGAUGACCUGGCCUUUUAUCACAAAAUUAUUUCACUAGAGUCCGUACUUUAAUUAUUUUUCACAAAGGAAGUAAACUUUUUGGUUUUCUGUUCUGCUUGGCACACCGUUAAUCAUCUGUAACAGAAGAUGGUAACAUUUCGUGCUGACUUUUUCCUUUCUUCCAAAAGUUGGAACAAACUGCUAGUGCUUUUAUGAGGCUCUUUAUUUUAGCUAUAAAACUGCAUCCUCGAUUUUGUUACCUUGUGUGUUUUAUAAAGAGUAGGCGUGGCCCUACUGCAGACUAGGGACUGAUGGAUUAACUCGAUAGAUUGAUUAGGUUGGCAGGUGCCCUUGCAGUGAACGAAACCGACAAAACUCCCUGCUGCCAUCAAGCAUACAUCGCAGCGUGGGAACACAGUACACAUUAUUACAUCAGACAAUGUAGACCUUAAUGCUGCAAGGGAGAUAGGAGACGGACACAACAGGAAAGACAGUCCCCAGAGGAUGCUGGGAAAAGGAAGAAGCUGCUUUUUAGCUUCCACUUUGUAGUGCCCUGGAGAGUGACAGAAGGUGCACAAGCUGGUUAUCGGAGCAGG